GGGAGCGCAGGAUCCUGGGCUGUGUCACUGGGCGCCCUGGGAUCCAGGGCCUGCGCCACUGGAAUCAUGCUCCUGGGGCCAUGGCUCCC
rnacentral:pre_miRNA from 1 species